GGCGAACGGGUGAGUAACGCGUGAGGAACCUGCCUCAAAGGGGGGGACAACAGUUGGAAACGACUGCUAAUACCGCAUAAGCCCACGGUGCCGCAUGGCACAGAGGGAAAAGGAGCAAUCCGCUUUGAGAUGGCCUCGCGUCCGAUUAGCUAGUUGGUGAGGUAACGGCCCACCAAGGCAACGAUCGGUAGCCGGACUGAGAGGUUGAUCGGCCACACUGGGACUGAGACACGGCCCAGACUCCUACGGGAGGCAGCAUG
rnacentral:rRNA from 1 species